AACGCUGGCGGCGUGCUUAACACAUGCAAGUCGAACGGAAAGGCUCCUGCUUGCAGGGGUACUCGAGUGGCGAACGGGUGAGUAACACGUGGGUGAUCUGCCCUGCACUUCGGGAUAAGCCUGGGAAACUGGGUCUAAUACCGGAUAGGACCACAUUUUGGAUGGUGUGGUGGAAAGUUUUUCGGUGUGGGAUGAGCUCGCGGCCUAUCAGCUUGUUGGUGGGGUAAUGGCCUACCAAGGCGUCGACGGGUAGCCGGCCUGAGAGGGUGUACGGCCACAUUGGGACUGAGAUACGGCCCAGACUCCUACGGGAGGCAGCAGUGGGGAAUAUUGCACAAUGGGCGCAAGCCUGAUGCAGCGACGCCGCGUGGGGGAUGACGGCCUUCGGGUUGUAAACUCCUUUCGCUAGGGACGAAGCGCAAGUGACGGUACCUGGAGAAGAAGCACCGGCUAACUACGUGCCAGCAGCCGCGGUAAUACGUAGGGUGCGAGCGUUGUCCGGAAUUACUGGGCGUAAAGAGCUCGUAGGUGGUUUGUCGCGUCGUUUGUGUAAGCCCGCAGCUUAACUGCGGGACUGCAGGCGAUACGGGCAUAACUUGAGUGCUGUAGGGGAGACUGGAAUUCCUGGUGUAGCGGUGGAAUGCGCAGAUAUCAGGAGGAACACCGAUGGCGAAGGCAGGUCUCUGGGCAGUAACUGACGCUGAGGAGCGAAAGCAUGGGUAGCGAACAGGAUUAGAUACCCUGGUAGUCCAUGCCGUAAACGGUGGGCGCUAGGUGUGA
rnacentral:rRNA from 1 species